AUUGAACGCUGGCGGCAUGCCUAACACAUGCAAGUCGAACGGCCGCACGUCAUUCGGGGUCCCGGCGAGUGGCGAACGGGCGGGUAAUGCAUCGGUACGUAACCGGCCGAGGGGGAUAAGCGGCCGACAGGCUGCCACAUACCGCAUGAACUCGGAAGAGCAAAGUGGGGGAGCAUAGGGCCUCGUGCGCUUGGCCCGGCCGAUGUGCGGUUUAGCUAGUUGGUGGGGUAAAGGCUUACCAAGGCGACGAUCGGUAGCAGGUCUGAGAGGAUGAUCCGCCACACUGGGACUGAGACACGGCCCAGACUCCUACGGGAGGCAGCAGUGGGGAAUCUUGGACAAUGGGCGCAAGCCUGAUGCAGCAACGCCGCGUGGGUGAAGAAGGUCUUCGGGUUGUAAAGCCCUUUUGUCGGGGAAGAAAACGAGCAGGCGAAUAUUCCGGCCGGAUGACGGUACCCAAAGAAGAAGCACCGGCUAACUACGUG
rnacentral:rRNA from 1 species